AAGGAUUUAAGUUAUCUUAAACUAUCAACCUUCAAAGUUGAAAACAGCGGAGUAAGCUAAGCCUUA
rnacentral:tRNA from 1 species